CCGCUAGGGGUAACCUGAGAACCYGAAWGUUCGAACGAGGAGACUCAGCGUGUUCGGUAAAUGCGAGUGCCGUUYGGUGACAGUUGUCGUUCGCGACAGUKGCUCCUUAUCGUGCGCCGUGCUUAACGGAGACGUGCAYKUSUCCUSCAGUAGGWCGUCGCGACCCGUUGGGUGUCGGUCUGAGCGCWKGCGGCUGGAGCCCGUUCGUCAGUUUCGGUCUCGUUCGUUCGGACCCGUGCACUGUUCCGKCCGACUGCUUGACGGUAGAAAUAAGGCGCAGAGCCGCGACUAGCUCGCGUUCGGCCCGAUGCAAGCGCGCACGGUUACCCGAUCGUCGGACAUGUGCCGWCCUCAGGGCCGGUCGGCUGUUGGUGUCGGUGUUCCCGAACAGACUCUGUACAAGCCUGUCAGCGGCGCUAUAGCUUUGGGUACUUUCAGGACCCGUCUUGAAACACGGACCAAGGAGUCGAGCAUGUGCGCGAGUCAUUGGGACU
rnacentral:rRNA from 1 species